rnacentral:tRNA from 5 species
UUGCGGAGACAGGAUUUGAACCCGUGACCUCAAGGUUAU